UCUAGAGAUUUGGCGGACGGGUGAGUAAUACAUCGGAACGUGCCUAGUAGUGGGGGAUAACUACUCGAAAGAGUGGCUAAUACCGCAUGAGAUCUAUGGAUGAAAGCAGGGGACCUUCGGGCCUUGUGCUACUAGAGCGGCCGAUGGCAGAUUAGGUAGUUGGUGGGAUAAAAGCUUACCAAGCCUACGAUCUGUAGCUGGUCUGAGAGGACGAUCAGCCAUACUGGGACUGAGACACGGCCCAGACUCCUACGGGAGGCAGCAGUGGGGAAUUUUGGACAAUGGGCGCAAGCCUGAUCCAGCAAUGCCGCGUGCAGGAUGAAGGCCUUCGGGUUGUAAACUGCUUUUGUACGGAACGAAAAGUCUUGGGUUAAUACCCUGGGAUCAUGACGGUACCGUAAGAAUAAGCACCGGCUAACUACGUGCCAGCAGCCGCGGUAAUAAUCGUCGAC
rnacentral:rRNA from 1 species